GACGAACGCUGGCGGCGUGCUUAACACAUGCAAGUCGAACGAAAAUACCAAGCUUGCUUGGUUGAUUAGUGGCGAACGGGUGAGUAACACGUGAGUAACCUGCCCCUUACUUUCCUGGAUAACUGCUCGAAAGGGUAGCUAAUACGGGAUAUUCUGACCAGCCUGCAUGGGUUGGUUUGGAAAGGUUGUUUUUCUGGUAAGGGAUGGGCUCGCGGCCUAUCAGCUUGUUGGUGGGGUGAUGGCCUACCAAGGCUUUGACGGGUAGCCGGCCUGAGAGGGUGGACGGUCACACUGGGACUGAGAUACGGCCCAGACUCCUACGGGAGGCAGCAGUGGGGAAUAUUGCACAAUGGGCGCAAGCCUGAUGCAGCGACGCCGCGUGAGGGAUGAAGGCCUUCGGGUUGUAAACCUCUUUCGUCAGGGAACAAGGCACUGCUUUUUGGUGGUGUUGAGGGUACCUGGAUAAGAAGCGCCGGCUAACUACGUG
rnacentral:rRNA from 1 species